rnacentral:rRNA from 1 species
GACGAACGCUGGCGGCGUGCUUAACACAUGCAAGUCGAACGGAAAGGCCCCUUUGGGGGUACUCGAGUGGCGAACGGGUGAGUAACACGUGAGUAACCUGCCCUAGACUUCGGGAUAACUUCAGGAAACUGGGGCUAAUACCGGAUAGGAAUCCUUGCUGCAUGGUGGGGGUUGGAAAGCUUCGGCGGUUUUGGAUGGACUCGCGGCUUAUCAGCUUGUUGGUGGGGUAGUGGCUUACCAAGGCUUUGACGGGUAGCCGGCCUGAGAGGGCGACCGGCCACAUUGGGACUGAGAUACGGCCCAGACUCCUACGGGAGGCAGCAGUGGGGAAUAUUGCACAAUGGGCGGAAGCCUGAUGCAGCAACGCCGCGGGCGGGAUGACGGCCUUCGGGUUGUAAACCGCUUUCAGCAGGGGCGAAGCUUGUGGUGACGGUACCUGCAGAAGAAGCACCGGCUAACUACGUG